rnacentral:rRNA from 1 species
GACGAACGCUGGCGGCGUGCUUAACACAUGCCAGUCGAACGGAAAGGCCCCCAUCUUGGUGGGUGUGCUCGAGUGGCGAACGGGUGAGUAACACGUGGGUGAUCUGCCCUGUACUUCGGGAUAAGCUUGGGAAACUGGGUCUAAUACCGGAUAGGACCAUGGUUUAGUGUCUCGUGGUGGAAAGAUUAUUGUUUUGGUGCAGGAUGAGCUCGCGGCCUAUCAGCUUGUUGGUGGGGUAAUGGCCUACCAAGGCGUCGACGGGUAGCCGGCCUGAGAGGGUGGACGGCCACAUUGAGACUGAGAUACGGCCCAGAAUCCUACGGGAGGGAGCAGUGGGGAAUGUUGCAGAAUGGGGGCAAGCCGGAUGCAGCGACGCCGGGUGGGGGAUGCCGGCCUUCGGGUUGUAAACUCCUUUCGUUAGGGACGACGCCGCACUUUUAUUGGGUGUGGUGACGGUACCUUUGUUAAGAAGCACCGGCUAACUACGUG